GGGCCCAUAGCUCAAUGGCAGAGCAGCCGGCUCAUAACCGGUUAGGUCUUGGUUCGAGUCCAGGUGGGCCCACUA
rnacentral:tRNA from 2 species